CUGGCGAACCCGACGCCUCUGCUGGUCCCGUUGGCGUCUCGAAGGAUUCGUGUGGAAAUCACCUGACCGAACGAUUUCAGCAUGGACUCCAGCUCCUGCUCAUCCAUCGACACGGGCAGGUUGGAGAUGUACAGGUUGAAACUUCACCCCAGGGACAAAAACAAUUCUGUUCUGGUCUUCUCCACCUGUCUGCGUCACCCAAACAGAGUUCCGUCUGAUGACAUCAUCGGCAUCCUCGCAAGGUCACGUGACCUUGUGUUUAUUAAUCAACACCAACGUUAUUAAAAGAAACAAAAUAAAACAGAAGCGCUAAACUACUCGUUGCUACGGGAACGAUAAGACGUCGAAGCUGCUGCUGUUGAGAAUUAAUCAACUUCUGGCAACCAAUCAUGUAAAGUGAGGGCUAAUGGACAACUCAUGAUCAUUCCAGCUCUAAUAAACUUUACAUGCAGGAA